UACGAAGGGGGCUAGCGUUGCUCGGAAUCACUGGGCGUAAAGGGCGCGUAGGCGGCUGAUUUAGUCGAGGGUGAAAGCCCGUGGCUCAACCACGGAAUGGCCUUCGAUACUGGUUGGCUUGAGACCGGAAGAGGACAGCGGAACUGCGAGUGUAGAGGUGAAAUUCGUAGAUAUUCGCAAGAACACCAGUGGCGAAGGCGGCUGUCUGGUCCGGUUCUGACGCUGAGGCGCGAAAGCGUGGGGAGCGAACAGG
rnacentral:rRNA from 1 species